CCUUCAGCUCCCCAGCCAGACCCUAAUGGAGUAAUAAGUCUGUGCCUGUGAGAUGCGAUGGAGGGGCCGAGGGGAGUGAAAACCAGCACAUCACCCAGUAUGGAGCUGAAUGACAGGAGUGCUCUGCCCCUCGGACUUCACUUUCAAUUCACUUCAUUUGGGGUUUGUUUUUUGUUUUGUUUUGGUUUGGUUUGGUUUUUGGCAGUGGAAAGAAAAGGAAUGGUCUCUGCUUUUCCUCUUAUAAAACCUGGAGCAUGAUGACUCCUCUGGCUCCACAGGAACACUGUCAGGAAGAUCUCACAGAACAGGCACUGUUUAUAGCCUACACAUGAAAUGCAGGAAGAUAUUUGGGAUCAGAUUUCUGAAGGAGCCAUGUCAAAAUGAGGAGGUAUCAGGGACCUGCUGGUGUCCACGUUGCUGCUUAUGCUGCAGAUUCUUAGUCCAGCACUGCCCUCCAGUCUCUAUCAAAAGGAAGUCUACACAUUAGCUCCAAAUAUCAUUUCCACUACAGCUGGAACCCCUUCUAUUUCAGAUUCUGGAGCACACAGUCUUCAACAUACAUAUGGCCUAUCAUCACUGCCAGGAAUAUUACAUAUGAAAGUGUUAGCCCUCCCACCAGAUGCAACCCAGUGGGAAGUAGAAGUCAGACCUUGCGUGGCACAGUAUCUGACACAGUGUCUUGUGGAAGAAGAAAGAUGAUAUUGAUUGGAUAUUCACUGAGUGAAUGAACUGAUAAAAUCAACAAAAAUAAGAAUAGAGCUAUAAGAAAAAACAGAGGAAGGACCAUAAUUUUGAAAAAGAAUGGAAAGUAAUUCUAUCUGUCAACAAGAUAACUAACAUAGACUGUGAACAAAUCAUGCUACAAGCCAUUUCUUAUGAAAGUUCCAAGGGGAAGAUGAUGCUAGGACCAGAUGGUCACAAGGCUCCUCCCUGACUUAGGACUAAAUACUCUCAACCUAACACCAUGCUUUUUCAGGUCAAGGCAAAUGAAUCUUUGCCAUUGAUGGAUGCUCCAGUAUUUCAGAAAUGGACUGGUCAUUUGCAUCAUCAAAUACCUCAUAGUUAAAGCAUGGUCAAUUUGCAAUGAUGAUUCAGUCCACAAGAUAGUGCACGUUUGGAUAAUUAAUUCCUUUAACACUGUGUCUGAAAGCAUUUGCAAAGAUAAUGUUUUCACUAGCCCUUAAAUACCUUGGCAAGGAAAACCAUAAAGGUUAAUAAAUCAAUGACUGAAAAGAGUGGAAGUGAGACAAUAUCACAAAUAUUAGAGGGAUUUUGAAUAACCUUGGAUUACCCUACCCUAUAUUUUGAAUUUUUUCUAUGGGAAAUAAUCCACCAGAAUGCAUUGACAUUAUAAAGCCUUUUCUCUCACACAAUAAAAAGUAACCACCAUACAAUCAGAUUGCUAGUUAUAUGCCCCUUUGAUGAAGUGAAGUGACUUAAAUAUGGUAUGCAUACAUUGUUCUUUUAUAUCAAAAGUCCUGGCAUUACACUAAUCUCAGAUAUGUCCUGUCUUCCAAGUAUGAAAUGAUAGACAUGUUUCUGGAUCUACAUGUGCUUUCCCAUAAAUGCCAUUUUCAGAAACAUAUAACAUAGCUUCAUAGCCCAAGGAAUGAAAAGCAUUUGAAACUAGCAGACUGUUUUCCACCUUGUGUUUCAGCUCAUUUACACUGGGGAGUCCUGCUGAUCACCUGUCUGUUGGCUUCACUGACUUUGAUGACUUAUGUAUAAAUGUAAGUGAGAGGCUGGCUGAGUGGUAUGAUUUUAAGGGUGAAUGCCAAAAUUCCACAAAGGAAGCUUCCUCCUUAUCUUUCAAGUCUUUGCUUCUUUUAAGAUUGCAAAUAAGUCCAAAGAACAAACUUUUCAAAUUCUUCUCAAUUAUUUGUAGAUAGGUGCUGGUGGAAGAUCUGAGAACUUAAGGUGGUUUCUUUUGU